UUCCGGUUGAUCCUGCCGGAGGCCAUUGCUAUCGGAGUCCGAUUUAGCCAUGCUAGUCGCACGAGUUCAGACUCGUGGCGAAAAGCUCAGUGACACGUGGCCAAACUACCCUAUGGACGGAACUAACCUCGGGAAACUGAGGCUAAUGUCCGAUACGGCUCCCACGCUGGAAUGCGGGGAGCCGGAAACGCUCCGGUGCCAUAGGAUGUGGCUGCGGCCGAUUAGGUAGACGGUGGGGUAACGGCCCACCGUGCCAAUAAUCGGUAUGGGUCAUGAGAGUGAGAACCCAGAGACGGUAUCUGAGACAAGAUACCGGGCCCUACGGGGCGCAGCAGGCGCGAAACCUUUACACUGCACGACAGUGCGAUAAGGGGACUCCGAGUGCGAGGGCAUACAGUCCUCGCUUUUCCGUACCGUAGGGUGGUACGGGAACAAGUGCUGGGCAAGACCGGUGCCAGCCGCCGCGGUAAUACCGGCAGCACGAGUGAUGGCCGAUAUUAUUGGGCCUAAAGCGUCCGUAGCUGGCCGGACAAGUCCGUUGGGAAAUCCACCCGCUUAACGGGUGGGCGUCCAGCGGAAACUGUCCGGCUUGGAGCCGGAAGACCUGAGGGGUACGUCCGGGGUAGGAGUGAAAUCCCGUAAUCCUGGACGGACCGCCGGUGGCGAAAGCGCCUCAGGAGGACGGACUCGACAGUGAGGGACGAAAGCCAGGGUCUCGAACCGGAUUAGAUACCCCGGUAGUC
rnacentral:rRNA from 1 species